AGAGCGAGAAACAAUCAGUAGCAAUAGCUUAUUUAGAGGUUGCAAGUUGCAAGUUGGGAUUCGGGACCAUUUCCAACUUCCUUGGUGGAUGUUAUUAUUUUUAAUUUAUACUGGUGGGUUUUUUUUGGCUUGCUUGUGGUGGCUGCAGUGAGAGAGAGAGAGAUCGCAGAGCAGAGAGGAGUCCAGAGGACGACUAUUAUUACAUAAACAAACUGAGAGUUCAUCCGUACAGCCAAGUUGAACACAGAUGGACUAUUAUGCUAAAGAGAAGAUGGGGUGAAUUUCUCCUGUACCAAAGGAGGAUGAACUGUCUCCCAAGAUGCAAGGGUG